rnacentral:lncRNA from 1 species
AUCCGUGCGUCAAACUCGAAAUCCGUCAGCGUCAUUGGUUCCAGAACAGCUGAACCGAUCGAAACGAGCUAUUGGACUGCUAUGAACAGAGUCCGAUACGAGCCUGAAGCCAACUUCACACCGUGGCUUCUCCAGAAAAUCGAGUUACUAUUCACUUUAAGUGAAACUUGGAAAUCGCGUAGAAUUUCCGUUUUAACUCGUUUUCGCCCGAAACUUGACGAGUGCUUUUGUAAUUAAAUUACACACAAAAACAUCGUCAACUGAGAGUUUAGCUACACUGCAAAAAUCUCAGUCCUUACAGGUUAGCUAACCCCACCUCAAAUAGGUUAUCCCAGGUUAGCUAACCGCACCAAACCCCAACCAAACACUAUUUUCUAUUCAUAAUAACCCACUAUCUUUCUUAUCCCACCUACUCCAACCAGACACUAUUUUUUACUAUCCUGGACUAACUCCAACUCCCAACCAAAUACAAAAGUACUCUAACCCCACCUUAACCCUAAACUUAACCCUAUCCCUGGAAUAACUAGUUUUUCCUUAACCCCGAACCAAACGGUAGCUAAGUAUUAGGGUUUAAAACCAAACCC